UUUCAUUUUUCCCCACUCUCUUUUUUUCUUUUCUGCUCCCGCAUGAUACUUUCUCUCCUUGAAGAUUCAGUUGCAGCUCGAUCUUAAGUGUUAAUCUUAGAGGUUUGGUUGCUCGUGUUCGAUCUGGGUUUGUCAAGGUUGAAGAGCUGGACUACUUUGAAGAAAGAAUUCUGAAGAAAGAACUCUGAAGAACUGAAGAACAUAGAAGUUUGCUCAUCAGAGUUUGGACAUAGAAGAACUUGUCAGAGUUGAAUUUGGAAGAACUAAAAAGUUGGAGAUUUGCAUGGUGAUAUGGCACAAACUACAUGGACCAGUGGAGAGACGACAACUAAUGAUAUACGUGAUUCUGCAAGAGACGUUGCAAGCAUUAGGUGGUAAAGCAAUGGUAGUGGGACAUACUCCUCAAACUGAAGGCAUAAACUGUAAAUACGGUUGUUGUAUAUGGCGUGUGGAUGUUGCAAUGUCCAGCGGAGUCCUUAAUUCAAUACCGGAGGUUCUAGAAAUAAUAAACAAUGAAGCAAGGGAAAUAAGGAGCAGAACAAAUAUGUUUAGCGAAUUUCAGGUUGUUGACUACAGAUGGAUAUUCCUACAUCUGAUAAGGCGAUUAUUAGAAUUGCUAGCUAAAAUUUGUGUUGAAGUUCAUCCCGUUGCGAUACUGCUGGUCAAGGGAAAUUUGGUGGCCUUAGAGAUGGAUAUUAGAAAAAAAUUAAUCGUGUGGUUAAAAUGCUCAUUACAAGAAGCUGAGGUUCUGUAAGCAAGCCAGGCAUUAUUGGAAUUUCAAGUGAGAGUACUUUGACCUUCAUUGCUUAUCAUUAAGUGCCAUACUACUUCGGUAUUGCAGAGACCUUAAUUUGUAUCAUAAUUGAGUUUGAGUGGUAGUAACUGGUUUAGUCAAUUGAAUUUCUGAUGUUGAUUUAAUUUCUUUUCGUCUUGUUUGCUCGAAAUAGGGCAUUUCUUUGCUUUCCAACCCAUUUAAGCUUGGACCUGUAACAUACCAACUGAUUUCUAACCCUUCAUUUUUGCAAGAGAAAGGACUUAGGGAUGAAGUUCAAGAGCUUAACUCUCGAUUGCUAAAUCAAGAUGCGUACAUUGAAGAACGCUGAAUGGUGAAUAAAAAUCUGGAAUCCUGCACUCCAAAGUAUCACACUGUCUCCCUCCGUUCAAAGAAACAAAGGUAUUUGGGCUUAAGUCAAAAAGCAGUACUUGGUGAUUUUUUAGCAGCAGCUGCAUCUACGUAUGAUUUGUUGAGGAAGUUUGUUAAGCAAGCGGAGUAUCGUGAUACAUUCUGGUGAUAUUUUAGUCCUUAUUUCCCUGUUUUUCAAUAUCUCUGUCAGUUGACACAAAUUAACUAGGUUACCCAUCCAUUUAUAAACAUCAACACAGAACGAAAGUUGUAUGUCAGUCACAAAAUUUUGGAUUAUGUAACUUGUGUACAUUUGUAUCAAUUGAAGAAUCUCUUCUUCUAUAAUAUUAUCUAGUGGUGAUUCUCAGUAAGAUUCUCCACAAUACAGUUUUGUAUCACCAUUGUAGUUUGUAUAUCUGUGUGGAUGUUGAAUAUGG